CCACUACAAAAAAACACUUAAAUCCUAGAGGUUUUAUAAUGGAGGUUAACUCAACCCCCACAAAUUACAUCAAAUUACGGAGGUUUGAUUAACCCCUAUAAUUUUAGUAGAAUUUGUGGGGUUAUUACCCGCCGCUAUCCUAAAAAAUAAAAUUUUAUAUCGUUGCUCAUUUAAUCCCCAAAUAAAAAAAAGUUUCAUUCUAUUUUCUGCGAUCCCGAACUGAUCAAUUUUCAUAUGAUAAUUAGGGUUGGAGUAGGAAGUGAUGGAGGCGGCACGGUGGCGAAUCCAUGGUGGCGGAGCUAUCACUGUCUUCAUCCACAAUAACAGUGGUCGGAGUAGGAAAAGAUGGAGGCGGCGGUGGCGAUUGGCGGUAUCGUUGGUUCAUACUUCUCUUCUCCUCUCUUACUUCCCAAUUUCUCUCUAUUUAACAAUUGCUCCUUAAUUUAGACAUCGAAAGCUUCAAAAAUGAGUUCUCUUUUCCUCAUUUUCAUGCAUUUUCAAUCUAUAAAUCAACUGAUUUUUUUUUUCUCAACUUCAAAUUGUUUGUAAAAAGUUUUGAGAUUUGUAUUUUGAAUCUAUUUUAGUUUCAGAAAAUCUGCAAUAUCUUCGCCGAUUUUGGAGUAAAAGAAUGCUCCAAUAGGCUCGUUGCCCUACGUCCUGCACCAUGGAGAAGCUUCAGCUCUUUCUAAGUGUCAAUAUUUGUGGCUGCAUUGUUGAAGAAGAUAAAAGCUCUUAUAAGCAGUCAUGCACAACUCGCUCAAGUUCUGCGACGCUCUACAAAUCUUAUUUGGAAGAGUUGCAAGAAUGUCUUUUUUCUUUGUAGUUGUGCUGAUUUACAACUAAGAAAGUUUGAUGAAACAUUUUUUUCCAUCUAGAUGUUGACAUCAGUUUUGAAUCAGUACUUUGUUGCUGUUGACUUACUAUAUUUACUAGAUGAGAUGUCAGAUCUAUACAACUACAACUAUCGAGGGGUAAAUUCAAUAUGUUUUCUGAUGCUUCUGAUUUGAAGACCAUCAUUUUGAAAAGUCAGGUAUGUUUUGAAGGUAUUAACAAAUUUACUAAGGAAACCAUCUUGACUAUGCUUGGAUAUGAGGUUGGAGAACUCUGUUUCAAAUAUCUAGGUGUGCCAAACAAUUUUACUAAGGAACCUUGCAUUACUAAUCCCUACAUUAUUAAUCUUUGUAUUAAACGACACCUAAAAGGCUUACAAUAGUCCAAUUAAACCCUUAGUGGACAAGAUUAUUGCCAAGAUUACAUCUUGGAUGGCCAGUGGACUCUUUUUGCAAGCAAAAUUCAAUUUCUCCCAACAGACCCAAUCCUAAGCAUCAUUAGACUCAUGUUCAGUUUUGAGAGGUCACAUUAUUUUUAGUAAUUGUGCCUUUUCAAAAAAUUAUAAUUGAUCAUCUGAAUAGUAACUGGUAUUUUCUAAUUCACUAGUUGGACUUUUACAUUUCAAGUUAUAGCUUUUAUAUAGUUGUUGGUGUUGUUUAAUGAAUAUUUUACAUUGUCUUGAGAACUUACUGCACCUAUAAUUAUGUUAUAUAGGCAUAGCAAGGUGGUUGGCAUUGGUAAGUAAAAUCUUUUUCUCUGGAACUUUGAUACUUCAAAGAAUUAAGGAUUAGAGGUACAUUUCAGUGUACAACUAAUGUGAGAUCUAGCCAUAUAGAUAUUACUAAUUAAUUUCUUUUCCCAAUGAAUUAAUCUUUAGACUUUAUCUAACUAGGACCCAUUUGUUGUUACUUUUUUUUUGGUAAGGAAAUAUGAAGCAUUUCAUUAAAAAGUAAAAUUAGUACAGGGGAGUAGUGGCUUGUGGCCAUCGCAGACCCAAUUGGUUUGAGUUACACAAAAAGGUAGCUACUGAUGUAUUUCUUGAGCAGGCUCUUAACUCUGUAAGUUGUAUUAUUUGGCUGGACAUAAACAAUAGUAAUUGUUUUCCUUUUGCUCCCUGACAAGCGUAACUGGGGAUAAGUCAUUACUUGUGCGUAUAUUCUACCUUUCCCAAACCCGCUUGUGAAAUUUCACUGUGUAUUAUGUUGUUAUUGUUGUAAUAUAUUCUUGUCAACUAACAUGUCUUAUUCCACCAUAUAACUUAACUGGCUGGUAGUACUAAAUUCAUCAAGUAUGCUAUAUUCAUCCAUGUUUUGAGUUUGGAUGAAGUCGCUUAUUGUGUAUUUCUCUUUGCAGCCAGGUGAUAUCGUAGUGAAAUCCGCUGAGUUUCAUGAACUGUUGCAGAUCCUAUCUUGAGUUUGGAUGCUAGUGAUUUGAAGUUUAAGCAAGUUUUUGUAGUGAUUUGAAGUUCAAGCAAGAUUUGAAGUUUCUUGUAAUCGUAAUGGUUGAAGUGAAUGACAUUUCAAUUUAGUUUGUAAAACUAUAGUACACUUUGAUAUAUUUUUGUAUUGAAAUAUUGUGUUAUUUCUUAUAUUAAUAUGCCCUUUUAGGUUU